UACAGAGGGUGCAAGCGUUGUUCGGAAUUACUGGGCGUAAAGCGCGUGUAGGCGGCUUGAUCAGUCAGACGUGAAAUCCCUCGGCUUAACCGAGGAACUGCAUCUGAUACUGUCAAGCUAGAGUGUCGGAGGGGAUGGCGGAAUUCCUGGUGUAGAUGUGAAAUUCGUAGAUAUCAGGAGGAACACCUGUGGCGAAGGCGGCCAUCUGGAAGACAACUGACGCUGAGACGCGAAAGCGUGGGUAGCAAACAGG
rnacentral:rRNA from 1 species